CUUGGUUUGAAAUAACAAUGUUCCUUACACUGUGAUGAUAAAAGCACUGUCAAUCCGGUCACAAAAGUGUAAGAAAUAAACAAACACCAAUUUUCAAAGCAGUUCAUUAGUAAUUUACAUAUAAUUCUGGAUUGAAAUACAGUAAAAUGGAAUUUAAAAAGUCAAGCUUCUUUGAAACAAACUAUGCUUGCAUUAGUUACACAAAUUGUAGCUGACUUAUUACAAAUUGCUACCACCAAGACUUGCUACAAAAUGCAUUUAUUUUUAAGGAAAGAAAAGCAAUCUAACAGCAUGGAAAUAUAAUGGACGAAAUUAUAUGAGCUUUGAAUGCAAGACUUCGAUGUAAUAUGUCAGAAAUCGCUUUCCAUGAAAAAGGGCCAACCCUUGCUAACUCGACUUGCUGCUUUAAGCGUUUUACUCAACCUCACAAUUUGACAGAUGGGCCACGAAUAGGAAUCCCAUGGGCCACAGACAAGAAUAUUACUGGUCACAGAUAGGAAUCACCAGGCCAUAAAUAAGGGACCCACGGGUCAAAAAUGAAAACCUAGCGGGCCACAAAUAAAAACUUCAUGGGCCAUAAAUAAAAACUUCAUGGGCCACAAAUAAAAACUUCACGGGCCACAAAUAAAAAUAUUGCGGGUCACAGAUAGGAAUCACCAGGCCAUAAAUAAGGGACCCACGUGUCAAAAAUAAAACCUAGCGGGCCACAAAUAAAAACUUCAUGGGCCAUAAAUAAAAACUUCAUGGGCCACAAAUAAAAACUUCACGGGCCUUAAAUAAAAACUUCACGGGCCACAAAUGAAAACUUCAUGGGCCACAAAUAAAAACUUCAUGGGCCAUAAAUCAAAACUUAAUGGGCCACAAAUAAAAACUUCACGGGCCACAAAUAAAAAACUCUUGAUAUCUAAAUGCUUAUUAGCAUAGACUGAAAUUUAUUGCAAAAAACCCAAGGGCAUAUGAUAAGGAAUCAAACUUGAGAGACAAUUUUCUCCUUUCACGCUACAAUCUUCCUUUGAAAUUACAAACGGCUUUCUUUUCUUUUUUAAAUUCGAUAAAACUUCUAUUAUCUAAACCUUCGAAGUUUCUCUGACUUCUAGAAACAAAGCAGUAAAUGAAUCGUACAGGGUUCCAUCGUCAAUGUUCCUCAUUUCAGCCUUUAUAAAGAUCUUCCUUCCCUCCUUUUUUGUUAUCCAAGCUAUGCAUUCUGCUGUCGAGUGUAAAGGCAAAAAGCUGAAAUGAAAUAAAUUUUACAUGUCAUUUUACAUAAAUAUACAAACUUGUGCUGAAAUUUAGCAGUAAGCGCGAUAGCAAUGAACCAAAUAAAGAAACAUUUAAGGUACCCAAAUUCAUAGUCUUAAAAAUAUGAUACAAUCGAGGACUAUGAAAAGGGACAAUAAAACAAGGAGGGUGUCUCCCCUCACGACCAUCCCCUAGCGACGGCAACGAUCAAAAGUUGUAUUGAAGCCAACUAUUCGUGUAUAAAUUGAAGUACACGUGGGGGUAACAGAUAUAAGCAAAAAUAUAUAAGUGAGGAACUUUAGGGGUUCUAAAGACUGCAAAACUUAGAAAACACAGGAAAAAUUAUCUGACAAAAUUUUGCGGCAUAAAAAUGCUUUUAAAGAGAAGUGUAUGUAAGAGUGUAUAAAAAUAUAAUCAUGCGAAUAUAUAAAUAAAAACAUAUAACAGUAAGAGAAUCUUCGUUGACAAUCGACCUUAUGCGCGCAGCAUACAGGAAAAACGGGGAAUGAGCUGGGUACAAAAUAAUU